GUGCAGCAGGCGAGAAACUUUACAAUGCGGGAAACCGUGAUAAGGGAGCCUCGAGUGCUGGCGCAUAGCGUCGGCUGUCCAGAUGCCUAAAAGCAUCUGAUAGCAAGGGCCGGGCAAGACCGGUGCCAGCCGCCGCGGUAACACCGGCGGCUCGAGUGGUGGCCACGUUUAUUGGGUCUAAAGCGUCCGUAGCCGGCUCGGCAAGUCCCCUGGGAAAUCUGGCGGCUCAACCGUCAGGCGUCCAGAGGAUACUGCUGGGCUUGGGA
rnacentral:rRNA from 1 species